UAAGUAAUAAAUAUAAAAUAUUAUUCUGUACAAAGCGCAGAUCUUAACCUAAGUAUGUAUCUCUUUAAUAAUUUUAAAUCUUAAACAUUUUCUAAAUCUCAGGCCAAAACAAAUAACAAAAUGAGAAUAAACUCAAAAAUCAAUAUCUAUAUUGAGCAAUAACCAAAAUGAAAAAAUGACACAAAAAUGAGAAAAAUAUUGAAGAUAGAUAUGAUUUACAUGUGAACAUAAAUUUUUCAUAACCAUAAUUAAUUUUUAAAUUGCUAAAUCAUGAUAUAAGAUCGAGCUGGCAUAGUUUGAUUGUAACCAAAUAGUAGACCUGAGAUUCUUCGGCCUAAAUGUUAGGUUCUUACGUGAUAAGUGAGUUUUGACCUAAAAUAUUUUUAAAAUGGGAUCAGCUCAUCUAUAAAAAAAUUAUGUAAUUAACAAAAAUUGUUUUAAAAAUUAUUUAAAGACCAAAAAAAAAAAAUUCAAUCAAGAGUAUAAUUUUAUUUUUCCAUACAAUAUUUCGUAAAUAAUUUUCAUAUAAAUUCAUCAUGCAUGUCUUAUCCUAGCAUAAUAUAUUCUAUUAGAGAGAACUAAAGGUGAAAAAACAAAAACUCAAAAUAUUUUUUUACGGAGU
rnacentral:lncRNA from 1 species